rnacentral:tRNA from 1 species
UCAAGCCCUGUGGUAUUUUACGCUAGAGUGCAAAUCUAGAGACGAACCCUAACGGUGUUCCAGGGCU